UAAAUAAAUUAAAAUAAAAUACUAAAAUAGUAAAUUUAUUAUUGAAACUUAAGUAAUUUGGCGGUAUUUUAGUUCAUUUAGAGGAAUCUGUUUAAUAAUUGAUAAUCCACGAAUAAAUUUACUUAAUUUUAAAUUUUAUAUAUCGUUGUUAAAAAAAUAUUUUAUAAAAAAAAUAAUAUUUAAAAAUUAUAAAUAAAAUUAGUUCAGAUCAAGAUGUAGAUUAUAAUUAAGAAUAUAAUGGAUUACAAUAAUAAAAAUUAAAUGAAUAUAAUUUUGUAAAAAAUUAUUGAAGGUGGAUUUAAAUGUAAUUUUAUUUAAUUUAUUAAAAUGAUUAUAAAUUAAGAUAUGUACAUAUUGCCCGUCACUUUCAUUUGAAAAUUGGAAUAAGUCGUAACAAAGUAGAGGUACUGGAAAGUGUUUCUAGAAAGA
rnacentral:rRNA from 1 species